GACGAACGCUGGCGGCGUGCUUAGCACAUGCAAGUCGAACGGAAAGGCCCUGCUUUUGCGGGGCGCUCGAGUGGCGAACGGGUGAGUAACACGUGAGUAACCUGCCCUUGACUUUGGGAUAACUUCAGGAAACUGGGGCUAAUACCGGAUAGGAGCUCCUGCUGCAUGGUGGGGGUUGGAAAGUUUCGGCGGUUGGGGAAGGACUCGCGGCUUAUCAGCUUGUUGGUGGGGUAGUGGCUUACCAAGGCUUUGACGGGUAGCCGGCCUGGGAGGGUGACCGGCCACAGUGGGCUUGGGGUAGGACCCAGACGGCAACGGGAGGCAGCAGUGGGGAAUAUUGCACAAUGGGCGGAAGCCUGAUACAAGGGCGCCGGGUGCGGGAUGACGGCCGUCGGGUUAGAACCCGCGUUCGCCUGUAAAGAAGAGUGAGUGACGGUAAUGGAUAAAAAAGCAACGGCUAACUACGUG
rnacentral:rRNA from 1 species